rnacentral:lncRNA from 1 species
AUAUUAACUCAAGGUAAAUUAUAAUAGGAUUGCAGAUAAAUUAAGCAUCUUUAUCUUUGAUUACAGAGAUAUUUAGCAUAUGACUAUAGAUAAUUUCCCCUUCAUAUUUUCUUGGGCUUCUAGUAUUUAUGUAUCAAGAAAAUUAUUUCCUUAUGUUUGAAAUGGUGACAUUUCUGAAAUGUACCAGCAGAGGAUACAGGGAUUUUUGUUUGUUUUUCAUUUUCUUAUUUACUGAAGAAAUAAAGGCAUUUUAGUUUAUAAA